rnacentral:rRNA from 1 species
CCCUUAGAUGUUCUGGGCCGCACCCGCGCUACACUGAAGGAGGCAGCGUGUACUCCUGGAUCGAAAGAUUUGGGUAACCCGCGAAUCUCCUUCGUGCUAGGGAUUGAGGUUUGCAAUUAUCCUUCAUGAACGAGGAAUUCCCAGUAAGUGCAAGUCAUAAGCUUGCGCUGACUACGUCCCUGCCCUUUGUACACACCGCCCGUCGCUACUAUUGAUUGAAUGAUUUAGUGAGGACUUCGGACUGGGACCGAUGCGGCUUUCGGGCUGCGUCGGUAUUCUGGAAAGAUGUCCAAACUGUAUCAUUUACAGGAAGUAAAAGUCGUAACA